GGAAAGCCCCAGCUCAGCGCGGGAGCGGCUGCGGGGCCUGAGCUGGCGGGAGUCGGGGCCCUGGCCGCCUCAGAAAGCCCUGGAACCCCGGGCGGGCGCCAGGAGCUCGCUCCCUACCAGGGGAGCUGGUUCUACGCCUGAGCGCGGCACCUGUGCCCCCCGAGUGGCACCCGUGCCCCCGGGGCGGCCCAGGGGCCAAGAUCUGUGGGUGGCGGCGUCACGCCCGCCCCGCCACGCCCGCCGCGGCUCCAAGAGCGAUGCCCACGGGCCCUCCAAGCCCAGGAGGGGCUGAAAAUGGUGGAAAAGGAUCAAGAUGGGGGCCGCAGACUGUCACCUCGGUGACAGAGUCAGCUGGACAGGGUCGCUGGACAGGUUGGUGUGGAGGCUGAGCCAGAGAGGAAACUGCAAGACACUGCUAGCUCUACCAGAAUUCCAUGGACCUCAUUACAACCACUAGAAAUGACUCAAGGGGAAAAUAGAUGAAUAAAUUCAGCCACACAAAGAGACUUUACUGAUUAAUUCCCUAUGUGCUCAUUGUCCCUCAAAAUCUUGUCUUUUGUCUCCUUUCCCUGAAGUAUACAGUAUCUUUGCUUAUUCCUGCCUGUCUGUAGUCCUAAAGGACACAUCUCAUACCCUGCCUCUUUAAGGAAGCCUUCCCAGGUCCUUACUCCAGCUCUGAUCCCCUUCAGGCAGAUACCUGUAGUGCCUAGGAUCUACACCAAUCAUCUCACUAUUAGACUCACUAUUAAAUAGACACAACUUUCAAUUGCUAUUUUCAUAUUAUGACUUCGUAUUUCAUAUCUCUCCAUCUUCAGCCCUUUAUACUUUUCCUCAAACAGAAACUUCCACUUAGCUGUACAUCUAGAGUAGGGUUUCCUUUUAAGGCCGAGGAAAUCUUGAAUGUGUACCUGGAUUAUAAAUUUUUUUCCUUUUAAACUGGUAAGCAAGUCAAUCUUCCUAAUCAAUCCUAUUUUGCUUAAAAAUUAGCUCUUCUUGUGAUGGACUGCUAAUGCUUUUGCAUAAACUUCAUUUACAUUGAAGUUACAAAAACCUUUGUAGGUAUCAGCAUGAUUGCAUGAUUGUUGCUAACUGAACAUUUUAGAGAUUUUGAAAAUAAUUGCAUUGUUUUGUGUACUCUUUCAAAAUUUACCAUAAAAUACACAAAAUACACAAUU